UUUAACAAAGAAUUGGACAAAACACACAAAGCAACAAAAGAAGCAACAAAAGCAUAGAUGUAUUGAAACAAAAAUACACCUGCAGGCUCAAGCAAGGCUCAAAAGCAAUAGCCACAGAAUUUUCUGGGGUUUAAAUGCUCUCUAGAUACUUCCCAUUGGUUACUUGGUUUAUAUCGUAUGAAGUAGUGGCCCAUGACCAGUCUGAUUGGUUGUGGAAGGUGGCCAAGCAGAGGCUGAAGUAAAGUUACAAAGUUACGCUCUGUGCAGACAUCUGAUGGGUUGCUGGAGGGAACCAAUCAGAGGUCCUUUCCAUUUUUCAUCUGCAACACAGAAAGUUGGGAGGAGUUGCAAAGGGAGUAGCCUCCGACCCUUUGUUACGUGGGCGUGGAAAUUUAGGGUUUUACUUUUGAUUCAAUUCAUGAAGUCAGCAUGAAUCAGCCUUAGGCUCCCUGCCCCCAGACCCUAUUCUCCUGCCUCACUGGCAACCAUGGAUCUUUAUCCUGUCACCAUAGUUUUGCCUUUUCCAGAAUGUCAUAGUUGGGGUCAUUCACUAUAUAACCUUUUCUGACUGACUGCUUUCACUAAGCAACGUGCAUCUUGUAUAUCUUCACAGCACCCUCUCACGUUUCCCCCAGGCUGGAGAUGUUGAGUUUAUCUGAAUUUGUCUCAUGUCGUCCUGCUCCUCCUUCCUUGUAACUCUCUCGCCUGCAGCCUCUGUUAUUUCUUCCUCUGAAGGCCCACACUUACUUAUCUACCCUCCUCCCUGGGCCAUGCCCUGCAUACCAUACCUCAAUCAUGUCAUUCUGGAUUCUGUUUACUGUCAGUCUUUCUGUAUGGCAUAGACAUCCCUCUUGACUGGCCUGUGAAGACAGCCUCUUUCCUCAUUUCAUGCUCCUAAUGGAGAAGCCACUGCAAGAUAUUUAAUGUCCUUCACCUGAUUUUCCAUGGCCAGGCAAAACCCGGACACAACUCAGCCACCCAAUGACUUCUUGCCUGCUUCUCAUCCUCAAAUACCCUUCAUUGGGCUAUCGUUUCUUUUCAAAACAUCCUCCCAUGAGGGAUUCCACAGUGACUUCCCAGAGGAACCACAGAGCUGGGAUGAGGACAAUGCAAGAAUGAGAGUGCUGGGUGUGAGGGCACCAGGUGUGAGGGUGCUGGGUGCAUGUAAGGGUCUUGCCCAGGAGGGAAGAGAGGUUUUGAUUGAGAGGAGGGAAAAAUCCUCUCAGAAGUCAAGGGAUGGCCACAGAGUAUAGUUAAUGUGUUGCCAAAGGAUCCUUGUGUCCUCAUGUGCUCAGAGAGUGAUGCAUGGGAACUUGACGUAGGCCUUAGUAGUGUUGACUGUGGUGCCAUGCAACCAUAAUGAACAGAGUGACAAGCAGAGGAGGGAUCUUUAGGACCUGGACAAGGAUCCUAAGCUGGGAGCCUCUGCCACUCAUUUUUGGAGGCUCCGUAUCUUCAACAGUGAGGAAUCCCCACCACCACAAUAACAAGGAUGGCAAGAUCAACCAUGUUUUGUAAUGUCGGUGCCAGACACUGUGUGAGGCUCACAUAGUGAUUCAUUGAUGCCUCAAAAUAAAUCUUGUAGGAUAAACAUUCUUUCUUCUGGCUACAGCAAGGAAAGUGAACCUCUAAGAGGCUAAGGACCUGUCUGAAGUGGCAAACAGUGAAGCCCAGGUGCAGCCAGUCAUGCUGCCCAUGCUGCGUCGGAGACCAUGCAGUCUUUUCUGGAGAGUCUAUUGGGUCAAUUCUGGAAUGCUUAAAUAACUUUUUCUGUUUGCAGCGUGAAGAAAUGGUAGAAUUGGUGCAUUAAGAAUAUGAAGUCAGUAUUGAUGUUUGAGAUGCAAUUAUGAGAUCCAGAAGUGGAGCAGAAACAUAUUCUAGGACUAAGCACCAGUUAGGAGUCUGUGUUUGUUUCCUGUGGCUGCUGUAAAAAAUUACCACCAACCUGCUGGCUUAAAACAAUGCAAAUUUAUUCUCUAAAAGUUA